UGGGGAAUUUUGGACAAUGGGCGCAAGCCUGAUCCAGCAAUGCCGCGUGAGGGAAGAAGGCCCUCGGGUUGUAAAGCUCUUUUGUCAGGGAAGAAAAGGUGAUCUCUAAUACAGGUCACUCAUGACGGUACCUGAAGAAUAAGCACCGGCUAACUACGUGCCAGCAGCCGCGGUAAUACGUAGGGUGCAAGCGUUAAUCGGAAUUACUGGGCGUAAAGCGUGCGCAGGCGGUUAUAUAAGUCAGAUGUGAAAUCCCCGGGCUCAACCUGGGAACUGCAUUUGAGACUGUAUGGCUAGAGUGUGUCAGAGGGGGGUAGAAUUCCACGUGUAGCAGUGAAAUGCGUAGAUAUGUGGAGGAAUACCGAUGGCGAAGGCAGCCCCCUGGGAUAACACUGACGCUCAUGCACGAAAGCGUGGGGAGCAAACA
rnacentral:rRNA from 1 species